UACAGAGGGUGCAAGCGUUAAUCGGAAUUACUGGGCGUAAAGGGCGCGUAGGUGGUUAUAUAAGUUGACUGUGAAAGACCCGGGCUUAACCUGGGGGUGUCAGUCAAAACUGUAUAGCUAGAGUAGGAUAGAGGGAAGUGGAAUUUCCGGUGUAGCGGUGAAAUGCGUAGAUAUCGGAAAGAACACCAGUGGCGAAGGCGGCUUCCUGGAUCCAUACUGACACUGAGGCGCGAAAGCGUAGGGAGCAAACAGG
rnacentral:rRNA from 1 species